rnacentral:rRNA from 1 species
UACGGGGGGAGCAAGCGUUGUUCGGAUUUACUGGGCGUAAAGGGCGCGUAGGCGGCCACCGCAAGUCAAUUGUGAAAUCUCCGGGCUUAACUCGGAAAGGUCAACUGAUACUGCGGGGCUAGAGUGCGGAAGGGGCAACUGGAAUUCUCGGUGUAGCGGUGAAAUGCGUAGAUAUCGAGAGGAACACCAGUGGCGAAGGCGGCACUCUGGGCCAGUAUUGACGCUGAGGAGCGAAAGCGUGGGGAGCGAACAGG